rnacentral:ncRNA from 2 species
CUAAAGCAAAGAGUUGGGAAACUCCGGUGAAAUUCCGGGACUGUGCCGCAGCUGUAAUGGUAAGACCAAAACAGAGCAUUGAGUUUUUUACUUGCCAAGUCAGAAUGCCAACCCUAAC